CCUACGGGAGGCAGCAGUGAGGAAUAUUGGUCAAUGGGCGCAAGCCUGAACCAGCCAAGUCGCGUGAGGGAUGACGGUCCUAUGGAUUGUAAACCUCUUUUGUCGGGGAGCAAGGCCCGCCACGUGUGGCGGGAAGGAGAGUACCCGAAGAAAAACAAUCGGCUAACACCGUGCCAGCAGCCCCGGUAAUACGGAGGAUGCGAGCGUUAUCCGGAUUUAUUGGGUUUAAAGGGUGCGUAGGCGGAAGGUUAAGUCAGGGGUCAAAGGCCGGUGCUCAACACCGGCCUGCCGUUGAAACUGGUCUUCUGGAGGGGGCGAGAAGUAUGCGGAAUGCGGGGUGUAGCGGUGAAAUGCAUAGAUAUCACGCAGAACUCCGAUUGCGAAGGCAGCAUACCGGCGCUCAACUGACGCUGAGGCACGAAAGCGUGGGGAUCGAACAGGAUUAGAUACCCUGGUAGUC
rnacentral:rRNA from 1 species